rnacentral:rRNA from 1 species
UGCCUCAGUAACGGCGAGUGAAGCGGCAACAGCUCAAAUUUGAAAUCUGGCUCUCGGGCCCGAGUUGUAAUUUGUAGAGGAUGCUUUUGGUGAGGUGCCUUCCGAGUUCCCUGGAACGGGACGCCACAGAGGGUGAGAGCCCCGUCUGGUUGGACACCGAGCCUCUGUAAAGCUCCUUCGACGAGUCGAGUAGUUUGGGAAUGCUGCUCUAAAUGGGAGGUAUAUGUCUUCUAAAGCUAAAUACCGGCCAGAGACCGAUAGCGCACAAGUAGAGUGAUCGAAAGAUGAAAAGAACUUUGAAAAGAGAGUUAAACAGUACGUGAAAUUGUUGAAAGGGAAGCGCUUGUGACCAGACUUGGGCUUGGUUGAUCAUCCGGGGUUCUCCCCGGUGCACUCUUCCGGCCCAGGCCAGCAUCAGUUCGCCCUGGGGGACAAAGGCAGCGGGAAUGUGGCUCUCUCCGGGGAGUGUUAUAGCCCGCUGCGUAAUACCCUGCGGCGGACUGAGGUUCGCGCAUUCGCAAGGAUGCUGGCGUAAUGGUCAUCAGUGACCCGUCUUGAAACACGGACCAAGGAGUCGUCUUCGUAUGCGAGUGUUCGGGUGUCAAACCCCUACGCGAAAUGAAAGUGAACGCAGGUGAGAGCUUCGGCGCAUCAUCGACCGAUCCUGAUGUUAUCGGAUGGAUUUGAGUAAGAGCAUACGGGGCCGGACCCGAAAGAAGGUGAACUAUGCCUGUGUAGGGUGAAGCCAGAGGAAACUCUGGUGGAGGCUCGCAGCGGUUCUGACGUGCAAAUCGAUCGUCAAACAUGGGCAUGGGGGCGAAAGACUAAUCGAACCUUCUAGUAGCUGGUUUCCGCCGAAGUUUCCCUCAGGAUAGCAGUGUUGAACUCAGUUUUAUGAGGUAAAGCGAAUGAUUAGGGACUCGGGGGCGCUAUUUAGCCUUCAUCCAUUCUCAAACUUUAAAUAUGUAAGAAGCCCUUGUUGCUUAA